rnacentral:rRNA from 1 species
GGCUUAGAGUUUGAUCAUGGCUCAUGAUAAACGCUGGCGGCGCACAUAAGACAUGCAAGUCGAACGGACUUAACCUAUAGUUUACUAUUGGAGCGGUUAGUGGCGGACUGGUGAGUAACGCGUAAGCAAUCUGCCUAUCAGAGGGGAAUAACAGUGAGAAAUCACUGCUAACACCGCAUAAGCUGUGAGUAUCGCAUGAUACAAGCAGAAAAGGAGCAAUCCGCUGAUAGAUGAGCUUGCGUCUGAUUACUUAGUUGGUAAGGUAACGGCCUACCAAGACCAUGAUCGGUAGCCGGACUGAGAGGUUGAACGGCCACAUUGGGACUGAGAUACGGCCCAUACUCCUACGGGAGGCAGCAGUCGGGAAUAUUGCGCAAUGGAGGAAACUCUGACGCAUUGACGCCGCGUGCAGGAAGAAGGUUUUCGGAUUGUAAACUGCUUUAGACAGGGAAGAAGAAGUGACAGUACCUGUAGAAUAAGCUCCGGCUAACUACGUGCCAGCAGCCGCGGUAAUACGUAGGGAACAAGCGUUAUCCGGAUUUAUUGCGUGUAAAGGGUGCGUACAUGGAUAUACAAGUUGGUUGUGAAAUACCUCGGCUUAACUGANGAACUGCACCCACACUGUAAAUCUUGAGUACUGGAGGGAAAGCGGAAUUCCUAGUGUAGCGGUGAAAUGCGUACAUAUUAUGAAGAACACCGGUGGCGAAUGCGGCUUUCUGGACAGAAACUGACUUGAGGCACGAAAGUGUGGCGAGCGAACAGGAUUAGAUACCCUGGUAGUCCACACCGUAAACGAUGGAUACUAGGUGUAGAUGAUGAUAAGUCAUCUGUGUCGUCGCAACGCAGUCAGUAUCCCACCUGGGAGUACA